CUGCAUGGUUGUCGUCAGCUCGUGUCGUGAGAUGUGGUUAAGUCCCGCACGAGCGCAACACCUGUCCUGUGUUGCUACUCCGCAAGGAGAGGGACUCUCAGGAGACUGCCGUGGAUAACACGGAGGAAGGUGGGGAUGACGUCAAAUCAUCAUGGCCUUUAUGUCCAGGGCUACACACGUGAUACAAUGGUACAGACAGAGGGCUGCAAGACCGUAAGGUGGAGCCAAUCCCUAAACUGUAUCCCAGUUCAGAUCGAGGGCUGCAAUUCGCCCUCGUGAAGUUGGAAUCGCUAGUAAUCGCAGAUCAGCAGGCUGCGGUGAAUACGUUCCCGGGCCUU
rnacentral:rRNA from 1 species